rnacentral:misc_RNA from 1 species
UCCGAGUUGACCCCGGCAGUCUCCUACGAGUCCCCACCAUUACGUGCUGGCAACAUAGGACAAGGGUUGCGUUCGUUGCGGGACUUAACCCAACAUCUCACGACACGAGCUGACGACGGCCAUGCAGCACCUGUCUCACGGUUCCCGAAGGCACCAAUCCAUCUCUGGAAAGUUCCGUGGAUGUCAAGACCAGGUAAGGUUCUUCGCGUUGCAUCGAAUUAAACCACAUGCUCCACCGCUUGUGCGGGCCCCCGUCAAUUCCUUUGAGUUUUAAUCUUGCGACCGUACUCCCCAGGCGGGAUGCUUAAAGCGUUAGCUGCGCCACUGACGAGCAAGCUCGCCAACGGCUAGCAUCCAUCGUUUACGGCGUGGACUAC